GGAGAAAUACCCAAGAGGCCGAAGGGGCUCCCCUGCUAAGGGAGUAGGCGUCGUGAGGCGCGCGAGGGUUCGAAUCCCUCUUUCUCCGCCA
rnacentral:tRNA from 1 species